UUUUCAGUUUAUGCCGAUGGGAGUAUAUGUUUGGAUAUAUUACAAAAUCAGUGGAGUCCCAUAUAUGAUGUGGCUGCUAUACUCACAUCUAUCCAGUCACUGCUUUGUGAUCCCAACCCAAAUUCUCCUGCAAACUCAGAAGCAGCUCGAAUGUUUAGCGAGAACAAGCGUGAGUACAAUCGAAGAGUGAGAGAAAUUGUGGAGCAGAGCUGGACAGCUGACUAAGCCCCCCAUCCAUGUAAACUUGUGGGCAUUCUGCCUGUCUGAAGCUAUUGAUGAAUUGUGUUAAGUUAUGCUGCCACCAUUAUGAAUCAUUGUGAAAACUUAUCAACUUAUUUCCUUUAUUCAUCACUGUUCUGAAUGUUAGGAUCAUUUCAUCUUUAAUCGAUUAUAGCUUAUGCAUUGUUCAAGUCUGUUUAUGUAAAAUAGAUGUUCUGUGUAUCAAUCUGCAUUGAAUUGUUAUCAACAUGGUUUAAUACCAAGUUUCAGUUUGCUGAAUUGGUUAUGAUGACAAA